GCGGCGUGCCUAAUACAUGCAAGGUCGAGCGAGAAGCUUGGAAAUGACGCUUCGGUUGAUUUUCCAAGCGGACAGCGGCGGACGGGUGAGUAACGCGUAGGCAACCUGCCCCUGACAGAGGGAUAGCCAUUGGAAACGAUGAUUAAAACCUCAUGACACCGUAGUAGCACAUGCUACAUCGGUCAAAGAUUUAUCGGUCAGGGAUGGGCCUGCGUCUGAUUAACUGGUUGGUGAGGUAACGGCUCACCAAGGUGACGAUCAGUAGCCGACCUGAGAGGGUGAUCGGCCACAUUGGAACUGAGACACGGUCCAAACUUCUACGGAAGGCAGCAGUAGGGAAUCUUGCACAAUGGGCGAAAGCCUGAUGCAGCAACGCCGCGUGAAGGAUGAAGGCCUUCGGGUUGUAAACUUCUGUUCUAAGGGAAGAGAGAAAUGACGGUACCUUAGGAGCAAGCCCCGGCUAACUACGUGCCAGCAGCCGCGGUAAUACGUAGGGGGCAAGCGUUAUCCGGAAUUAUUGGGCGUAAAGAGUGCGUAGGUGGUUACCUAAGCGCAAGGUUUAAAUUAGAGGCUCAACCUCUACAUGCCUUGCGAACUGGGCUACUUGAGUGCAGGAGGGGAAAGCGGAAUUCCUAGUGUAGCGGUGAAAUGCGUAGAUAUUAGGAGGAACACCGGCGGCGAAGGCGGCUUUCUGGACUGUAACUGACACUGAGGCACGAAAGCGUGGGUAGCAAACAGG
rnacentral:rRNA from 1 species